rnacentral:rRNA from 1 species
CCUACGGGAGGCAGCAGUGAGGAAUAUUGGUCAAUGGGCGGAAGCCUGAACCAGCCAAGUCGCGUGAGGGAUGAAGGUUCUAUGGAUUGUAAACCUCUUUUAUAAGGGAAUAAAGUGCGGGACGUGUCCCGUUUUGUAUGUACCUUAUGAAUAAGGAUCGGCUAACUCCGUGCCAGCAGCCGCGGUAAUACGGAGGAUCCGAGCGUUAUCCGGAUUUAUUGGGUUUAAAGGGUGCGUAGGCGGCCUUUUAAGUCAGCGGUGAAAGUCUGUGGUGCAAUCAUAGAAUUGCCGUUGAAACUGGGAGGCUUGAGUAUGUUUGAGGCAGGCGGAAUGCGUGGUGUAGCGGUGAAAUGCUUAGAUAUCACGCAGAACCCCGAUUGCGAAGGCAGCCUGCCAAGCCAUGACUGACGCUGAUGCACGAAAGCGUGGGGAUCAAACAGGAUUAGAUACCCCAGUAGUC